UACGUAGGGGGCAAGCGUUGUCCGGAUUUGUUGGGCGUAAAGAGCGUGUAGGCGGCUUGACAGGUCUGCUGUGAAAACUCGAGGCUCAACCUCGAGAUGUCGGCGGAAACCGUCUGGCUAGAGUCCGGAAGAGGAGAGUGGAAUUCCUGGUGUAGCGGUGAAAUGCGCAGAUAUCAGGAAGAACACCUAUGGCGAAGGCAGCUCUCUGGGACGGUACUGACGCUGAGACGCGAAAGCGUGGGGAGCGAUCAGG
rnacentral:rRNA from 1 species